CCUACGGGUGGCAGCAGUGGGGAAUAUUGGGCAAUGGAGGCAACUCUUACCCAGCAAUGCCGCGUGAAUGAAGAAGGUCUUCGGAUUGUAAAGUUCUUUAAUUGGGGACGAAAAAAAUGACGGUACCCAAGGAAUAAGCCCCGGCUAACUACGUACCAGCAGCCGCGGGAAUACGUAGGGGCCAAGGGUUGUGCGGAAUGAAUGGGCGUAAAGGGUGUGUAGGCGGGGUAGCAAGUUAGAGGUGAAAUACCUAGCGCUUAACUCAGGUCCUGCUUUUAAAACUGCUAUACUUGAGGGUCGGAGAGGAAAGUGGAAUUCCUAGUGGAGCGGUGGAAUGCGUAGAUAUUAGGAGGAACAUCAGUGGCGAAGGCGACUUUCUGGACUGUAACUGACGUUGAGGCACGAAAGUGUGGGGAGCAAACAGGAUUAGAUACCCCAGUAGUC
rnacentral:rRNA from 1 species